CACUGUGCCUACGAAGGGGCUGCUGGUCAUUUCUUGGGCCUGUUAGGAUUUCUCAAGAAAAAGGCUGGUAGGCAUCUUCAAACCUCAGUUCCCUCUGCAGAGGUAAAAGAGGAAGCAAAGAUACGGUUCUAAGGUUGCAGCCCACACUGUAAAGUGAACAUGUGGUGACUGGAUCCGGGUUCCUACUAAGAACAUGGCAAGGACCUUUGACUCCCCACUGUAGGGACUAGGAAAAAGACCCUCAUGAGAAGAGUCUAGCAGGAAGAAAAUGGAAAGGUCAUCUCUAUCCAAAUCUCAAGAGCUAUGAUUGGCUGAGCUAGCCCUGGGGUGAUCCGUGAAAUGAAGGGAAACCUGACUCCAAUAACUGCUGCCAGGAGAAGCCUUGGGGGUGGAAGCCAAGCGUUCAAAUAAGAGGCGAAGUUGAGCAAGCAUGGCAGUCCUCCAGCAUUGGAAGGGACCAGAUGCACCUGCCCAGCCUACCCCAGGAACCAACCUGCUGUUACUCCUGGUUGAUUGAUCCCAGAGCUGAUGGUCAGGCCCAUGACUGGACUUCUUGUACCAUACAUGAACCCAGAGAAGACUUCUGCUUCUCACUCAAAGUUGUAUCUACUGUGGUAAGACAGGAAAAAAUGUUCUGCUUGCAUUGUGACAUGAAGAGCCGUGGGCAGUUCCUCUGCUGUUUGCCUCUUUCCCAAUGUGGUCAGCCAAUGUGUAUCUCCCAUGCCCGAUAUUGUCCAGAAACAGGGAGAGCAGCAGUCGGGUAAGGGAGAAUAC
rnacentral:lncRNA from 1 species